rnacentral:rRNA from 1 species
UGGGGAAUUUUCCGCAAGGGGCGAAAGCCUGACGGAGCAACGCCGCGUGAGGGAUGAAGGCCUCUGGCCUGUAAACCUCUUUUAUCAAGGAAGAAGAUCUGACGGUACUUGAUGAAUAAGCCACGGCUAAUUCCGUGCCAGCAGCCGCGGUAAUACGGGAGUGGCAAGCGUUAUCCGGAAUUAUUGGGCGUAAAGCGUCCGCAGGCGGUCUUGUAAGUCUGCCGUUAAAGCGUGGAGCUUAACUCCAUUUCGGCGGUGGAAACUACAAGACUAGAGUGUGGUAGGGGCAGAGGGAAUUCCCGGUGUAGCGGUGAAAUGCGUAGAUAUCGGGAAGAACACCAGUGGCGAAGGCG